rnacentral:lncRNA from 1 species
UAUGAAGAUGCUGUUAUAUAUGGAUUAAUAAAGUGAGUACUUCGCUAUACAGGAAUUAUUGACUGAUUUGUACAAAACAUCACAGUGGCAGCAGGGAUAGCUGAAUGUUUUGAAAUAAAUUGGUAUAUUUAUAUCCCUCCAUGGCAAGACCACUUACUAUUAUCUCACAUAUAUUAUUAUUAUUCUUAUUGAGCAAGUUGGAGCAGUUUGUUUUUAACCGCUUUUCUCUGCCCUAUUUGAAAUCUAUUAGUUCCUGUUGGCAGUUGGUGGAAUGUUCGAGGGAUUUGAAAGCUCUUCUCUGCCCUUGCUGUAGAGUGAGUGAACCACACUCCAACCUUUCCAGUUACUCCAUCCACUCAAGCUUAUAAAACCUGGACUUCUCUCUCACACAAAGACUUAUUUACCAUAAAUUUUACAUCCUAACGCCACGUGUUGACAUCUAACUUACAAAUGAGCUAUGUUCCACACAUUGUAAAAGGGUCCAAAAAUGUAAAUGAUUGUGUGUGUGUGUGUGUGUGUGUGUGUGUGUGUAUUAAGGGAAAACUAUAAAAGCUACAAUUUCUGGGGAAAUUGUGUGAAGUGUUCUUGCCUCCACCAGUAGUCUACAACUGGAGUGGGCGGAGUAACUUAUUUAUUUAUAUAGCACAUUUAACCCUUUUAGGACGAGUGACGGACGAGGUCUGUCACAGAGGGGGAGACUCUUAGUGACGGACCUUGUCCGUCACGCGGUAAAAUUAAUCCCGGAUUGCGGGGUUAAUGGUGCUCCAGUAUGCCUCUGUAUUGGAGGCAGACCGGGAGCACUCGAUAGUGCUUAGUAUACUUACCUUCCGCCUCCCUGUGUGACGUGCAGGGAGCCGGAACAGUGCUGAUCCUGCCCCCUGUUAAAAAAAAAAAAAAAAAAAGUUAAAGUCCCCCACUCCCUCUUUAACCAUUGUAAUAAAAAAUUAACCACUUCCCUGCCAAUUAAUCACUGACUACAGUGAUCAAUUGGCAGGGAUUACAUUUUACUAUGAUCUGAAUAUUUUUUUUUUAACCCCUGAGGGUUAAUUCUUUUUUACAUUUAUUUAAUUUAAAAAUUCUAUAUUUAGCUAUCUGGGGUGGGUGGAAGUUAGUGGGGAAUUGGAAGAUUUGACGUUAGGCUAACUAGGGGUUAACGUUAAAAAAAAAAAAGUUUUAAAAUAAACUUUAAAAAGUUAACUAAGUUUAAAAAAAGUUUUAAUAACGUUUAAGUAAAAAAUUACCCAGUCCAAAUAAAAAUUAACCCCUUCCCUGCCAGUCGAUCAAUGCCUACAGUGAUCAAAUACAGAUCACAGUAUUAUACUCUGAUCUAAUUUUUUUAACCCUGUGAGGAUUAACUUUUAUUUAUUUUUUUUUAACCCACAGGGGUUCAAUUUAUUUAAUUAAUUUAAAUAUUUUAUAACUAUAUAUAUAUAUAUAUUUUGCUAGCUGGGGUGGGUGGGACUUAUGGGAAAAUGGGGAAUUUACUGUUAGUGCUGCUUACUGCUAGUUAGGGGUUAACGGUAAAAAAAAAGCUUAGAAAAAUGUUAAAUCUGUGGGGGGGAAAAAAAAAAUUAAGAAAGUUAAGGAAAGUUUAAAAAAAAAUGUAAUAAGCAAAACAAAAGUUUAAAAACUAGUUUUUAAAAGUAAAAAAAAAUAAAUAAAUGUUUUUUACUACACCUGGAACAAACUAGAGACAAUAUUAUCCCACGCCAAGGUUCAAAAUAUGCCUUUUGAAUUACCCCAGGGUGUAUUCUUUAAUAAAUAGUAUGUGUUUGUGGGGAAGUUUCAAUAACCAACCAUCUAAACUACUCCAAAUUGGAACAUGGACACAGCGUAAAACUUCAAAGUUAGAAAAAAACUGGCUGCGUCUCAAAUGCGCCCCUUUAACAUCCACAUAUACCUGGCAAAGGUACAUACGGGGGUAUUGCUGUACUCAGCCGACAUAGCUGAGCAACAUAUGAAGUGUUAUACAGUCGUAGCGCACAUAAGGUUUGCAAAAUAUACUGUGCAAACUCACUUUGUGUGUCAAAAAGGCAGAAAAAAUGCUUACUUACUUGGUACGUGCUAGCGGAAAAAUGAUCCCACGCUAAGGUUCAAAAUAUGCCUUUUGAAAUACCCUGGGCUAUCUUCUUUAAGAAAUGGUAUGGCCUUAUGGGGUAUUUGGAUUAUAUAGCCUGGUAAAAUACUCUAAAAUGGGACAUGGGCACAGCGUAAAAAUUUAAAGUUUGACAAAAAACUGGAAUGGCUGUGUCCCAAAUGUGCCCCUCCGAUGUCCACAUAUACCUGGCAAAGGUACAUACGGGGGUAAUUGCUGUACUCAGCCGACAUAGCUGAGCGGAAAAAUGAUCCCACGCUAAGGUUCAAAAUAUACCUUUUGAAAUACCCUGGGGUGUCUACUUUAAGAAAUGGUAGGCCUUUGUGGGGUAGUUUGAAUUUAAAACCUGUGAAGAUGCUUGGAAAUUGCACAUAGGCCCAGCGUCAAAAUUCAAAGUUCGGUAAAAACUGAUAUGGCUUGGUCUCCUAUAUGGCACUGUAGCUUCACGAAAUAGUGCCAAAGACAUUCAUUGGGGGUGUCUUUUUACUCAGAAGACUUAGCUGAGCAUAAUUUGGGAGGUUUGAACUUAGUGACACAUAUGAAAUAUACAAAACGCCCAGCAAAAAUGCAAUUCGUAUGUUAAAAAAAAAUGCACAAAAUUAUUUUUUACCACAUAUAUUGGUGGAAAAAAUGGGGCAUGUUAAGGCACAAUAUGCACCUUAUGAGAUGCCCGGGAGUGUCUAAUUUUACAAAUGGUAGGCCUUUGUGGGGUUUUGAACAGUCAAACUGUUACAAUACCUCAAAUGGAAGCUAAGGCUCAUUAAAUCCAUCUCAAAAUUCUACUGUGAAUACUGAAAAGGACAGGUCUCCUAUAUGGCACUGUAGCUUCACGACAUAGUGCCAAAGACAUACAAUGGGGGUGUCUUUUUACUCAGAAGACUUAGCUGAGCAUAAUAUGGGGGGUUUGAACUUAGUGGCACAUAUGAAAUAUACAAAAUGCCCAGCAAAAAUGCAAUCCAUAUGUAAAAAAUGCAGAGUCAACAAUUCUUAAUCUUAGGUCUUCUGAGAGCUCUUUUGUGCGAGGCAUCAUUCACAUCAGGCAAUGCUUCUUGUGAAAAGCAAACCCAGGACUGGUGUGUUUUUUAUAGGGCAGGGCAGCUGUAACCAACACCUCCAAUCUCAUUUCAUUGAUUGGACUCCAGUUGGCUGACAUCUCACUCCAAUUAGCUCUUGGAGAUGUCAUUAGUCUAGGGGUUCACAUACUUUUUCCACCUGCACUGUGAAUGUUUACAUGGUGUGUUCAAUAAAAAAACAUGAACAUUUCAUUCUUUGUGUGUUAUUAGUUUAAGCAGACUGUGAUUGUCUAUUGUUGUGACUUCGAUGAUCAGAUCACAUUUUAUGACCAAUUUGUGCAGAAAUCCAUAUCAUUCCAAAGGGUUCACAUACUUUUUCUUGCAACUGUGGGUAUGUAUGUAUGUAUUUUUUAAUUUUUUAUGUUUACACUUUUUAAUUUUAUUUUAUUUCCAGCCAGCAGUGGGACUAACUGUCAUUACAGGCAGUACCCCUGCUGGCAAUGCAGUAGGCAGCUAACCCGGCCAUAUGACUGUAAGGUCCUCGGAAAGACCUCACUCUCACAUGGCCGGGGGGGGACACUGCAGAACGGAGUAUUCGCCACGGGGGGCUCCCUGGGAGUCCCCCCAACCGCGAUCGCCGGCGUAGGAUCGCCAGUGAGCGGGUAAGUAAGAAAAAACUGGAGGGCGUAAUAGUACGCCCUCCGGUUUUAAGGGGUUAAUUGCAACGUAUUUGCCCAAAGUGCUUCAGUUACAUUAACCCCUUAAGGACCGGCCUCUUUUUGCAAUCUUGUACGUUAAGGACCAGAGCUGUUUUAACACUUUUGUGGUGUUUGUGUUUAGCUGUAAUUUUCCUCUCUCUCAUUUACUGUUCCCAUACAAAUCAUAUAUUUUUUUUUUUUUUGUCAGAACAAGGACUUUCUUUACAUACCAUUUAUUUGUAUAAUGUCACAUAUUUUAUUUUAAAAAAAUAAAAUAAAAUAUGGUGAAACAUUGAGGGGAAAAAAAAACCAUGUUUUUGGACUUUUACUUGAAAAAUCUUUUACUGAUCUACAAAAGCUAAUGGAAAAAAAACUGCUAAAUAUCUAAAAAUUUUGUCCUGAGUUUAAAAAUAGAUGCUUUUUUGGCAAGUUAUAGGCCUAUAAAUAUAAGAAGGGAGUGUGUGUGUAUAUGUAUGUAUGUAUGUGUUAAAUUUAUCAAUGGUGACAUUGUAACACCGUUAUCUGUCAUAAAUCCCCGAAUCAAAUGUUUCUCUUUUUUUUUUUUUUUUUUAGACAACCCAGUGUCCAGUCUUUGGGUAUGUCCAGUCUUUGUGACUAAGUGGCUACUAAAAAAGGCUGAACAUACCCCAUUUGCAAUAGCUUGGGUUUUUUUUUUUUUUUUUGCUUAUGGUAUGCCAUCAUAGGGCUAAUUCUCAUUCCUGGGCUAACAUACGCUCUCAAAGGCAACCUAACCAAUCUGACAAAUUUCAAUAAAAAAAGUAAAAUCAAGCCUUAUAUUUGACCCUGUAACUUUCACAAACACUAUAAAACCUCUACAUGUGGGGUACUGUUAUACUCAGGAGACUUCGCUGAACACAAAUAUUAGUGUAUCAGAACAGUAACAUGUAUCACAGCAAUAAUAUCAUAAGUGAAAGUGCCGUUUGUGUGUGAAAAAUGCAAACAACGUCCCUUUCACAAUAUAAUCGCUGUGAUAUGUUUUACUGUUUUGAAACCCUAAUAUUUAUGUUCAGCGAAGUCUCUCGAGUAAAACAGUUCCUCCCAUGUACAGGUUUUAGGGUGUCAUAGAAAGUUUACAGGGCUAGCAAAUUAAAUUCUCUGGACUUUUGGCCGGGGUUGGCAAGCAGGUCCUUCAAUUGCAAUCAUUAAAAUUACUUAAUUAGGUAAAAAUAUUACAUAAAUAUGCACGUAGAAUUUUAAUAUAUAUACAUAUUUAUAUAUUUGUCUACGUGCAUAUUUAUGAGAUUAUUUAUGUAAUUAUGUAUAUGGACAUGUGUAUUUCAUAUCUAUCAAAAUACUGUUUAAAAAUAUAUAUGUAAUUUUAUUCUUUUAAAAUAUUUUACUUUAUAUUUUAUUAUUUAUAAUAUAUACAAUAUAUAGUGAUAUAUUGUGUGUAAUUUAAAUUAAAAGUAUUUUAUAUUAUACGUAUAUAAAAUACAUUUAGUAUGAUAUAUACGUGUAUGUGUGUGUGUGUGUGUGUAUGUAUGUAUGUAUGUAUAUAUGUAUGUAAUUUUCACUGAUGGAUUUAUUUAACUUUUUUCUGAUUUUCUACUUGCAGGGAGACUGCCUGUCAGCACAGACAGUCCCCUUGCAGGUGUGAUCACGUGGCUGCGGGGUCCUGAUCUGCCGAGGGGAGACUGCCCGGGCAGGCAGGCAGUCGUGUUUCCCCCCUCCCCCACCCUCCCGGACUGGGAGGAGCACUGGUAAGUAGCCCCAGACCGUUAUGACGGUUCAGGACAGUCAUCGGUCCCCAAGGGGAUUUUUCUGAUGACGGUCCUGAACCAUAAUCGGUCGUCGAGGGGUUAAAACAUACAUUCAUAAAAAAAUUAGCAGUUGUACAAAAGGCCCUGUCUAUGACAUCACUUGCUGCUCCACCCUGGCACAGGUCAGAGUAUUUUGGCGGUUGCCAUAUUCAAAUGGUCGUAUUUUAUAAACUAUAAAUCCUACAGCGAAGAGAAUCACAAGACCCAGACCUACAAAUUGCAAACAAAUGGUCAUAUUGUGAAAACUGUCUGGACUAUGGCUUAGCCGUGGACACGUUUAGUGGCAGCAGGGAUAGCUGAAUGUUUUGAUAUAAGAUUUGUGUAGGUGGGCUUGAAAAUGUGGGAGUGGUGGCAAUUUAGAAAUUAUGUCUUGAUUUUUCUGCUUUUGUCAGCUCCCACUCUAGUUUUGAACAUUUUGCCAUUCAUUCCUAUGGGACCUAUUUCGCCACAAGAACGAUAUUCUGUGAACCAUUCGGUGAAACGUUCCAAAGUAAUAGCAAUCCAAUCGGGAACAAUCCGCACGUUUCGGUAUAUUACUGUCUAUGUAGUGUAAAAACUGUGGGAGGAGUGAGGGUGGUAAACUUGGCUAUAAUAAGAAUAAUAUAUGUGAGAACAUAAGUGGUCUUGCUAUGCAAGAACACUUAAUGACAACCCAUUAGGACUGAAUGGAUUCCAAAGCCAAACCUAGAAUUUGAGCUAUAUGUUUGUUUAACCAUAAUUUACCUCUUUUUAUAUUAAGUCCACCCACACUUAUUUUUAUUUAUCAUUUUGUUUAGGAGUAACCUGGUUUAGUUUGCAGGGGUGCAGUGCUUAGUUCCUUAAUUGGUCUAUGAGAUAUUGCUCUCUCCUGGUGCUCCUCCUAUAUCUCCCAGCGCUCUUUCAGUGUUUUUUUUUUUCUCUGGCUCUGCUUCUUCUCCCCAACUCCUCUCUGUUGGUGUCCCCCAAGGUUCAGUCCUUGGUCCCCUACUGUUCUCCAUCUGUACUGCCUCCCUUGGUAAACUCAUUAGCUCCUUUUGGCUUCCAAUAUCAUUUCUAUGCAGAUGACACACAAAUCUACCUGAUCUCUCCCCGUCCCUCUUGACUAGUGUAUCUGACUGCCUCUUUGCUGUUUCUAACUGGACGGCUGCCCACUUCUUAAACUAAACUUGACCAAAACUGAAAUUCUGGUCUUUCCUCCCUCAAGUGUUACUCUUGUGUCUCCCUCCAAGUCAACGGUGCUACCAUCAGCUCCACCACGCAGGCUCGCUGCCUAGGUGUUCUCUUUGACUCCGACCUCUCCUUCAAGCCUCAUGUUCAAUCUAUCGCCAAAUCCUGUCAUUUCCAUCUAAAAAACAUUGCGCGCAUCUGCCCCUACUUAACGCCAGAUGCGACUAAGCUGUUGGUCCAUUCCACUGGCCUUUCUCGCCUUGACUACUGUAAUUCGCUUCUCAGUGGUCUUACGUGCUCCCAACUUGUGCCGUUACAGUCCAUAUUGAAUGUGGCGGCGAGGCUCAUCUUCCUGUUCGCCCGCACCUCCCAUGCCUCACCCUUCUGUCAGUCCCUACAUUGGCUUCCUGUAAGAUAGAGGGCUCAAUUUAAAAUUCUGGUUCUUGCUUUCAAAUCUCUACAUAAUACUACUCCCACCUUUCUAUCCUCCCUUAUGCACAAGUAUAUCCCGUCUAGGCCCUUACGAUCUGCUGAAGACUUAAGUCUAUCUUCUCUCCGUACUCCCACCUCUGAUGCUCGCCUUCAAAAUUUCUCGAGGGCUGCACCGUUCCUGUGGAACUCGCUUCCCUCCUCCGUUAGAUGCUCACCCAGUCUCCACUCCUUCAAAAAAUCGUUAAAAACACACUUCUUCAUAAAAGCGUAUCAAUUAAACUGUUAAUAGCUUCUGACUUAUUCCUCUUCUGCAACUGUCACUAAUCUAAUACUAUCCUUACCCUUUUGUCAUUUUACCCCACUCACUCUAGCAUGUAAGCUCAUUGAGUAGGGCCCUCAACCCGUCUGUUCCUGUGUGUCCAACUUGUCUGGUUACAACUACAUGUCUGUUCGUCCACCCAUUGUAAAGCGUUGCGGAAUUUGACGGCGCUCUAUAAAUAUAAUAAUAAAAAAUAAUAAUUGAGAAAGCACUCUGCUGAUCCUUUUAACCUGAGUUGACUGUGGCUUGCACUGGGAAACUAAACGGGAACAGAUUAUCUAAAGUACCUUAGAAGAAAGUAAUCUUUAUCUGCCCUCCUAGAAGUAUUGUUUUUUUUUAUUUUCUAUAAUUUUUUUCACCAUUUACUUGCAGGCUGCUUGUGCUGACAGUGGGACUUUAGUUAAAAUGGAAGGAAUUCACAGAGUAUACAUUUAUUCCCCUGUAUUUUAUCCUUUAAUGAAUCUGCCUUAAGUAAUGGUUAUCCAUUAAUAGAGUAUCUCAAUUUAUUGCAGUUUCAAUAGGUUUUCAUACAGAAAAUAAAUUGCACCCAGUAAUUAUGUAAUGCUCGUGAGGAGCUAUUCUGCCGUCACGUUCUGUUUCUAAUAGUGCAUAAAACAGGUUCAUUCUAGUACUUUGGCUGUUUGGGUGCACAUCUCAAGUAAUAGAAUCGAGCCCUGUGUAUGUACAUGUAUGUUAUACUGAUGGACAGCAGAGGGUGCUCUCUGAGUACAAUAUUAGACACAAGUCAAUUUCAUAUUUCACAAAGCAAAUGAAACCGCAAUGGAUGAGUGUGGCAAAACCAACCUCGCCACUGGGCAUUGGAGAAGCCUGUUUGCCUGCCUGCUGACUAUGGCCACCGGGAGAUUUGGCCCUUUAAAUACAGUAUUUGGGCAUAUUGCAUUUUAUUAUGCUGCUGCUGGCCUUUUAAGAACCAUCUGGGGACAUACUGUGGAGUUACUGGGUGGCCACCAUUUCCUGUAUCAGAGGCACAUGGUGAGAACAAUAGAUGGCGGCCAUUUUUACUCAGAUACUAUUUGGACCUUUCUACACGGUGCCAUCUCGCCAGUAUUUGGUGCACGAAGACAUCGUUCAGUAGUUUUAAACUAUACUACAGGGGACACAUUAUACGGCAAUUAUUUUUCAUAUAGCCUGUAUAUGUUCUGCGGAAUCUGCAUUAAACUGCAUCUUCCAGACUACUGAACGGAUCUGGGUGAAUUUUGGAUAUGUGGUUCACCCAGAUCACCCGGUUUCGAUGAUAUACUUUUUAUGGGGUUAUUGCAUGUUUUGGGGUCCCUGUGAUGUUUUAUGAUACUGUAUUUCUCUGCCUGUGAUAAUUAGAUUAACCAUUGUGUUCAGUAAUCAUAUCACAGGCAGAGGGGAGGAUUCUGUGUGGGAGUGUCUGUGUGUAUUGUACAGAUUGGUUGUAUUUCAAAACCCUGUGGGCAGUACUAUGUUUGUGGAUUGUCAAUAAAAAAGGCUGUAUGUACCAGUACAGUCAGUUCUGCUUGACCUCAAAACGAAGUGUCGUCUCGUUAUUGGGGGAAUUGGAUUGUAUGCUGAUUGCCAGGAGUGUAAGCUGAUUGUAUGCUUUUCCUUUUCAGCUGCUUACAGCAUUCAUAUGCUUGAGAGUAUUCGUUUGCUCCGGUUUGGUGGUUGUGGUGUCUGCUGCAGUGCUUGGAGUCCUCAGGAAGUGCUAGGAGCAUCCUUCAACGGAGGUACUCAGUCGGGGUGCCAGGUGAUCCGUUACAAUGAGCAGUUUCGUUUAUUUUAUGAUUCAGAUGUCACUGCUGGUCAGAAUUUGCUAGACAAAUACCAGAUUAAAAUGUAUAUUAAUAGUGUAAAAAAAAAAAGUGCCUAUGGCGAUUAAUAUGAAACACAAAUUAGCAGAAGGGAGAUUUAAUACUCCUGACAUGCCACGAGUGAUGGGAUAUAUACUAAACAGUGAGCAGCCAGUUAUUGCAUCAGAUGGGAACAGAAAUUAAAUUAUGCCUGGUGAACAGGCCAUCUAGGGCCACACUUUUCUUUAAUUUUAAUUAGCACCCACAUUAUGUACAUGAUUUAUUGUUCCACCUUGUUAUAUUAGACCACAGCUGUGUCUCCCACUGGACCACCAGGGAAUCAGAUUCUCCCCUUCCUGGCUCAAGGUAAGUCUAUAUACUGUCACACCAGUAUAGCCCAUGUCACCCCGCCACCCCUCCUAUCAUUCCAAUAUGGCCCCUGCCACCCCGCCACAGUCCCUAUGCCCCAACUGCAACUUCUGUGACCCCACCACAGCUCCUGUCAUCCCACUAUUCACAAUAUUCACCCCACAAUAGCCCAUGUCCUCUCACCAGUCACAUUUCCCCUACUAUAGCCUUUGUCACCCCACUAUAGCUCUUAUCGUCCCCUGACUAUACCCACUAUCCACAACACAAUACUCCCUAUCAAUCCCACUAUAGUCCCUAACCUGCAUCUACAGUCUUAAUUUCCCUGCUAUAGGUCCUAUUGCUCUACUAUAACCCCAAUCUCCACCACAAUAGCCACGAUCUUCCACCCCCCUCUACAGACCAUGUUUCCCUAUAUAACUUAUAACCCCACAAAUAGACAACAUCACAAGCAGCCUCCACCCACAUAUACACACAUCCUCUCCCAACUUGGCCCCUCUUAGCAUCCAACCACCCACCUAGUCACAUGCACCAGUUGUAUUAAUGCAUGCAAUUGAAUACUCCAAACUUUGUAUAUAUGUUUUUAUAUAAAGAGAGAAAGAGGUUGCAUUGAAUAUUCUGGCCUUGGAGCAGCAAGGACUGUAAAUUCAGCCCUGUGUGUAUUGUAACGCUAUCUGUUUAGCCAUUCUAAAAAAUAAAACUCCAGUCCAUAGGCAGUUGUGCAGCAUGUGGACAUCUGAAAGCCUACCUGUUAUUGUAUGUAUGUUGUAUAAUAUGACCAUGUUAACUGGUAUCUUGUUUCCUGUCUGAGAAUUGAAC